rnacentral:tRNA from 1 species
GGGGAGCGUGUAUCCGGCGCCGAUGCCCCCGGAUCCGGAGUAGCCGGGCCCGUGCAGGGUGCCGUGCACGGUGGCCGGUUCGAAGCCCACGUUCUCCA